GACGAACGCUGGCGGCGUGCCUAAUACAUGCAAGUAGAACGCUGAAGAGAGGAGCUUGCUCUUCUUGGAUGAGUUGCGAACGGGUGAGUAACGCGUAGGUAACCUGCCUUGUAGCGGGGGAUAACUAUUGGAAACGAUAGCUAAUACCGCAUAACAAUGGCUGCCACAUGUCAUUUAUUUGCAAGGGGCAAUUGCUCCACUACAAGAUGGACCUGCGUUGUAUUAGCUAGUAGGUGAGGUAAUGGCUCACCUAGGCGACGAUACAUAGCCGACCUGAGAGGGUUAACGGCCACACUGGGACUGAGACACCGCCCAGACUCCUACGGGAGGCAGCAGUAGGGGAUCUUCGGCAAUAGGGGCAACCCUGACCGAGCAACGCCGCGUGAGUGAAGAAGGUCUUCGGAGCGUAAAGCUCUGUUGUAAGUCAAGAACGAGUGUGAGAGUGGAAAGUUCACACUGUGACGGUAGCUUACCAGAAAGGGACGGCUAACUACGUG
rnacentral:rRNA from 1 species